rnacentral:rRNA from 1 species
UACAGAGACCUCAAGCGUUAUCCGGAAUCAUUGGGCGUAAAGCGUACCGAUAGGUGGUUUUACAAGUCAGAGGUGAAAUCCCAAGGCUCAACUUUGGGACUGUCCUUUGAAACUGUACAACUAGAGGGGCAAAGAGGAAGCUGGAACGAACGGUGUAGUAGUGAAAUGCGUUGAUAUCGUUCGGAACACCAAUAGCGUAGGCAGGCUUCUGGGUGCUACCUGACACUGCUAGGACGAAAGCGUGGGGAGCGAAUGGG